rnacentral:rRNA from 1 species
UACGUAGGGGGCAAGCGUUGUCCGGAUUUAUUGGGCGUAAAGAGCUGUGUAGGCGGCUUGGUAGGUCCGCUGUGAAAACUCGAGGCUCAACCUCGAGAUGUCGGCGGAAACCACUUGGCUAGAGUCCGGAAGAGGAGAGUGGAAUUCCCGGUGUAGCGGUGAAAUACGCAGAUAUCGGGGAAGAACACCUAUGGCGGAAGGCAGCUCUCUGGGACGGUACUGACGCUGGAGACGCG